rnacentral:lncRNA from 1 species
GAGGAGCUUCAUGCUUUGGGUCGGGGAAGGAAAGACAUAGAAUUUGGAUUUUUCUUCUUCGUAGAGUUUUGGAAAGACUGAGGCAAUCGCUGUUGAAGUCAAUGUUGUAAUGGUGAAUCGGGAUUUUUAAAUGAAGUGGGUUUGAAUACUCUUGACUGUUUUGUAAAAUCGAGUUACGUCUGUGAUUGAAGGAUUAAAAGGGUGUCUAUAGGAUUGAGUAUGCGGAGUGAAUGAAAUUUAUGGGGUUAAUCUAACAGGACAGUCAGUGGAAAUAAGAUCGUAAGUACAAAGGGGUAUUGAAGAUUAACAGUUUGGGUUGUUCGAGGUUCUCUGUAACGUCU